rnacentral:rRNA from 1 species
CACGUUAUGGUGGGCACUCUAAGGAGACUGCCGGUGCAACCGGAGGAAGGUGGGGAUGACGUCAAGUCAUCAUGGCCCUUACGGCCUGGGCUACACACGUGCUACAAUGGUCGGUACAAAGGGUUGCCAAGCCGCGAGGUGGAGCUAAUCCCAUAAAACCGAUCGUAGUCCGGAUCGCAGUCUGCAACUCGACUGCGUGAAGUCGGAAUCGCUAGUAAUCGUGAAUCAGAAUGUCACGGUGAAUACGUUCCCGGGCCUU